rnacentral:lncRNA from 1 species
GAAUUUUUCAAAAUUCAUUCAGUAUGUGUCGACACAUGUGUUGGAUAGGUCGACACAUAAAAUUAAAUUUAUGUAAUCUUUUGAAUAAGCUUCAGUAUGUGUCGACUCAUGACCUUGAUAGGUUGGCACAUGCGUUCAAGAGUCGACACAUAAGUGACUUUUUUGGUCAAAUCUUUUUAUUUCUCUUGCUCUCAUUCAUGCACCCAAACUCCCCAAUCUCUAUAUUUCAUCUUGAAUCGUGAAAAUCAUUCAAUUGGCAUUAAAG